rnacentral:rRNA from 1 species
AUGGUUCUGGAGGCUAAAAAAUUAUCUCUGAAUGACUCUCCAGAUACAAUUUCCUGGGCACUUAAUAGUAAAGGGAAAUUUACUACUAAGUCGGUCUAUGAGUGGCUGGAGAGAAGCUUAUCUGGCCCUAACUAUAAAUGGGUGUGGAAAGCUACUAUCCCGCUCAAAAUUAAAAUUUUCUUAUAGCAACUAUUUCAAAAUGUUGUGCUUACGCGGGAUAACCUACGUAAUAGGAAGUGGCCUGGAAAUUCUGUGUGCUCUUUUUGUACAAGUGUGAAAACAGCGAAUAAUCUGUUCUUUGCUUGCCCGCUUGCUCGUACGGUUUGA